rnacentral:rRNA from 1 species
AAUCCUGGCGGCGAGUGGCGAACGGGUGAGUAAUACAUCGGAACGUGCCCAAUCGUGGGGGAUAACGCAGCGAAAGCUGUGCUAAUACCGCAUAAGAUCUACGGAUGAAAGCAGGGGAUCGCAAGACCUUGCGCGAAUGGAGCGGCCGAUGGCAGAUUAGGUAGUUGGUGAGGUAAAGGCUCACCAAGCCUUCGAUCUGUAGCUGGUCUGAGAGGACGACCAGCCACACUGGGACUGAGACACGGCCCAGACUCCUACGGGAGGCAGCAGUGGGGAAUUUUGGACAAUGGGCGCAAGCCUGAUCCAGCCAUGCCGCGUGCAGGAUGAAGGCCUUCGGGUUGUAAACUGCUUUUGUACGGAACGAAACGGCCUUUUCUAAUACAGAGGGCUAAUGACGGUACCGUAAGAAUAAGCACCGGCUAACUACGUGCCAGCAGCCGCGGUAAUACGUAGGGUGCAAGCGUUAAUCGGAAUUACUGGGCGUAAAGCGUGCGCAGGCGGUUAUGUAAGACAGUUGUGAAAUCCCCGGGCUCAACCUGGGAACUGCAUCUGUGACUGCAUAGCUAGAGUACGGUAGAGGGGGAUGGAAUUCCGCGUGUAGCAGUGAAAUGCGUAGAUAUGCGGAGGAACACCGAUGGCGAAGGCAAUCCCCUGGACCUGUACUGACGCUCAUGCACGAAAGCGUGGGGAGCAAAC